ensembl:lncRNA
UGAACUUAAGAGUCCAGCACAAUAAGAGUGUUACAAACGCAGAAAUAAACUCGUAAAACUUGUUUGUAUGAUACAUGUCGUACAGAAAACAGUAAUUACGAUACAAAAUGCAAAGUAUUUAGGCUCACAAACGCGGGAGCAGCGGCUUGUCUGUUCCGCUCAAGAAAAAACAACAUGUAAUGACGUGAGACUAAAGCGAAAGAGAAAGUGUAAUGAUGUAAAUCCCUUCAGGCUCGCCGGAGUAAGCCUUAAGGAAAUACCUGUAGACGAGUUAUGUAUUUUUAUAGAUUUACUGACUAAAUGUGAAAUGAAUUUAAUGUUGUACACUCGACACAUGAUUAUCAUGAUACGAUACGUACAGUGAGUGAGUGGACGGAUCUGAACACGACCCAAAAGGAGGCACCUCCCUCCUUUCCAGCCAUCUGGAUAUGAAGAAUGAUCAGUCAGUUUCUGCUCCAACAUGAUAAAAACUGUCCCAAAUGGAGAAACCUCCACACCGACACCCAGCUGUGUGUCUGAGAGUCAGCACCCCCUUGAUGUUCCUGUCAAUCCCAGUGAUGGAAAUGUCCUUUCUGAUCCAAGGACCCAAAUGGAGAAACCUCUAUCACCAGAAACAAAUGAGAAAAGCACCCAAGUGAAGAAACCUCUCUCACCAGCAGCCAGCUGUGUAUCUAUGAAGAGUGAUCAGUCAAUGGACAAUCCUCCCAGGUUAAGAAAUGGGGUCGAUGCUUCUGCUCCAAGGAUCCAGGUGGAGAAACCUCCAUCACCAGCAGCCAGCUGUAUAUCUAUGAAGAGUGACCAGUCAAUGGACAAUCCUCCCAGGUUAAGUGAUGGGGUCGAUCCUUCUGCUCCGAGGAUCCAGGUGGAGAAACCUCUAUCACCAGCAGUCAGCUGUGUAUCUAUGAAGAGUGAUCGGUCAAUGGAUAAUCCUCCCAGGUUAAGUGAUGGGGUCGAUCCUUCUGCUCCAAGUAAACAAGCAGAGAAACCUGUCUCACCAGCACCCAGCUGCCCCUUAAUGGACCCUGAUCGCAUUAUUGAUUGGAAUAACUGGUGCAAUGAUGAACAUCUCCUCUCUGCUCUAAGGAAUCAAGAACUGUGCUCCCCAGCAACCAGCUACUUUUCUAUAAUGACUUCAAAGUCAAAUAAGUUUUCUCACAAUGGAAAUGAUGGAAAUAUCCUUUCUGUUCAAAGUAUCCAAACAAAUGGAUCCAACUCGCCCGCAUACAGCUGCAUUUCUGACACUGAUUUAGACAAUUUGUUUGAUGAUGACGAUAUCUCUUCUGUUCCAAGUAAACAAGCAGAGAGACCUGCCUCACCAGUGCCCAACUGCCCCUUAACGGACAGCAAUGACUCCAGUGAUUGGAAUAACUGGUGCAAUGAUGAACGUCUCCUCUCUGCUCUAAGCACCCAAGUGGAGAAACCUCUCUCACCAGCAGCCAGCUGUGUAUCUAUGAAGAGUGAUCAGUCAAUGGACAAUCCUCCCAGGUUAAGAAAUGGAGUCAAUCCUUCUGCUCCAAGCACCCAGGUGGAGAAACCUCUAUCACCAGCAGGCAGGUGUAUAUCUAUGAAGAGUCAUCAGUCAAUGGACUUUCUUCCCAAGUUUAGUGAACAAAUUGUCCCUUCUGCUCCAAGUGUGUGUGAGCAGCCUGAAAGGGAAGAAUAUGGCAGUCCACCUGAGCACAGAGAAGACUUGUCUGAAGAUGUGGUUUGUAGUAAAUGCAGUGGGAAGAGGAAGAGAGCGGUGAAGACUUGCCGGAAUUGUUCUAAGUCCUACUGUGAGACCCAUAUCAGAGAUCACAAUACUGUACCAGCAAUGCAGACACACACCGUGGUGGAUGUCACUGGAGGCCUGGAGAAGAAGGAGAAAACCUAA